CGCAGCGAUAGGAGCCAUCCGUAUUGAUGCACUGCCCAUGUUUACAGACAUCUGGUUCUUUGCACUCAUCCAUAUCUUAAGUAAAGGAUUAAAAAAAAGUGAAUAACAAGCCAAUUUUCCAAAAUAACUUGAUGUGAAUAACAAACUCCAACACUAUCACGUUUCAAAGCUGACAUCAUCAGUGACUUCCGGGUGGGGACAUUAAGAAGUGGAAUAAUUCACAAGACCCCUCCAUUGACAGAUGGCUUACAUGUGUUUUGGGUAAUAUUUAGUGAGCAUACUAAAUUAAGGUAGGCCUCCCAGUUCUGGUACUUACUAUGCUCUCACACCAGGUUGUUUAUUCUGGGUCCCCUCAGCCAAAAUAAAACCAAAUAAACCAAAAUAAAACCCCUGAUUCCAAGCACAGAACAAAUAAAGAUGUGGCAAUUUUGUGGAUUGGCAAAAAUACGACAAUAAUGAUCAUUCACUGAAGCAGCUAUUGAUGUAGUUGCUAUUUACAAAACGCCACGUGGGGCUUUCUGCAGAUUUUAUACACACACACACACACACACACACACACACGAUACAGAAGGUUGUUUAGCUCAACAGAGAGGGACGGUGAAGAGGAGGGCAGGGAGAUGGGUAGAUAGGAGGGAGAAUAAUUUUUCUUUCAAAGAAUACAUUUCUUUAAUAUCGGUUAUUUUUUGGUGACUCCAACAUGGAAGAUGGGAUCUAGUUGCUACAAACUUCUCCAGCAUUGCUUGACAUAAUUUUGGAAACUGACUUUUCCAUUUCUUAUAGAGCAAAUUGGGUGGCUCUAAAAAGUGAGCUCAUCCAGAAGCCUGGAGUGUGUCCCCUCAAAUUUGACAUCCAAAGCUUUAUAGACUCCCCUCUAGUUACAUGGAGGCUAAAAUCUGCAGGUUUUAAGGAAACGCUUUCAUAUCCAUUUGAGGAAUUGCCACUUCUUUAUGUGUGAUCAGGUAUGCUCUCUCCUGUCACUGUUUUUCAACCCCAGGCAGCAUAUUAUUAACAGCCACCUAUGCAUUUCUGUUAAGACAAUUUCUCAGCUUUUAUUUCGUGACAAAGGAGACAGUGUAAGAAUAAUUGAGUUGCCAAAGAUCGUAUCAGAAAAAUUUUCAUGAAUUAAAGUAAAAAUAUCAAUCAAUCAAACAUAUAUACCAGGCUUUGGUAAGUCUAAUUCAGUUGGCCUCCCCAGUGAACUUCUUCAACCAACUCUUCCAGAUACAUUUUCUCACUAAUUUUUACUCCACCUCCAGAUUGGUUACAGCUAGACCUAAGAGGUAUCUUUCAGUGAAUCUUCUGAAGAUCAAGAGCACUAAAAGCCAGUCUUUGCCCUGAGACAUGCCUGCCCUCCAAAUAUUCGCUUUGCUGAGAAGUUUCAAGAUUUAACGAAUAUAGUUUCUCUAAUGACACCUUUUGAUUCGCUUUAUUCUUCAAGUUCAUUGUCACAUACAAUGUUUCGUGUUUAUUAUUUAUACCUACAACUGUCUUAAGGUAUCAUUUAGUGACUAUUCACAAAAAUGUCUCAAUGAAUAUAUUAAAACUUAAUUGUCUCUGUUGUCUUCCACCUUAAAAUGUUUCCGUUAAACCUAGAUAUUUCUUUUCAUUUAUCAUUAAAUAAAUUAAUUAAAUAAAUUAAAUAAAUCCAUAAAUCAGU